rnacentral:misc_RNA from 1 species
AAACUGUCAAGUGGACAUAAUAAUGCAGGCUAUGCAAGUGUAUCUCACUCUAGUUUUCCCCUCCAUUUUAAAGUUACCAAAACAAUACUGGACAUUUAUUCCUUUGUAUAGUUACCAAAACAACAUUGAAGAUUGAGCUGGUAAGAGCUUGAGUUACAAGCCAAUUGAAUAUAACCAUCAGAUCACGUGUGCAACCACUACUUCAAUACACAAGCAAGUAUAUUGGAUAAUUGUGAAAAACUAGGUAAAGCAAAAUGAACAAUGUAUAGCAAGAAGCAUUGAGAAUUUGCAUCUAUGAGGAAAUGACUAUAUCAAGGAUCAUGCCGAAAAAAAUUGAGGCACCAUUGCCCAUCUCAAAAGAAAUGCAAGCCAGCAAAUUUCCCAUUCUCUUCUGAUAUCUUUUUCAUAGCCAAUCCGGUGCAGAACUGACACACUAUCUAUGAAUGCAACCCAAUGACAAGGCAUAAUCACUUUUCUGUAUUUUAUUUUUAUCAUGCAAUCCACCUCCCCACAGAAAGAAUGCCAUCUUAAGUUCUAAACUUCAUCUCUCUCCUAAAUCUACCUGAAUAUCAUUUAUGUUCCAGUCGUCAAGUCUCUUUCUCUCCAAGUCCACUAUUCUUACAUGCAGCAUAAUUUUUGACUAAAUAUUUUAAAAUUUUUGUUUACCCAACAAAUACAUAAUAGUAAACUCACUUGCCAAAUAAUUAUAAUUUAAUUAAGUAGCAGGUUGGGCGUAGCAACAAUUUAG